rnacentral:rRNA from 1 species
GAUGAACGCUGGCGGCGUGCUUAACACAUGCAAGUCGAACGAACCUUCGGGUUAGUGGCGGACGGGUGAGUAACGCGUGAGAAUCUGCCCUCAGGAGGGGGAUAACAGCUGGAAACGGCUGCUAAUACCCCAUAUGCCGCGAGGUGAAAUGAAUUUCGCCUGAGGAUGAGCUCGCGUCUGAUUAGCUAGUUGGUGUAGGUAAUGGCUCACCAAGGCAUCGAUCAGUAGCUGGUCUGAGAGGAUGAUCAGCCACACUGGGACUGAGACACGGCCCAGACUCCUACGGGAGGCAGCAGUGGGGAAUUUUCCGCAAUGGGCGAAAGCCUGACGGAGCAACGCCGCGUGAGGGAUGAAGGCCUCUGGGCUGUAAACCUCUUUUAUCAAGGAAGAAGAUCUGACGGUACUUGAUGAAUAAGCCACGGCUAAUUCCGUGCCAGCAGCCGCGGUAAUACGGGAGUGGCAAGCGUUAUCCGGAAUUAUUGGGCGUAAAGCGUCCGCAGGCGGCCCUUCAAGUCUGCUGUUAAAAAGUGGAGCUUAACUCCAU